GUUCGAGUUGUAAUUUGAAGAUGGUAACCUUGGGUUUGGCUCUUGUCUAUGUUCCUUGGAACAGGACGUCAUAGAGGGUGAGAAUCCCGUCUGAUGAGAUGCCCAUUCCUAUGUAAGGUGCUAUCGAAGAGUCGAGUUGUUUGGGAAUGCAGCUCUAAGUGGGUGGUAAAUUCCAUCUAAAGCUAAAUAUUGGCGAGAGACCGAUAGCGAACAAGUACAGUGAUGGAAAGAUGAAAAGAACUUUGAAAAGAGAGUGAAAAAGUACGUGAAAUUGUUGAAAGGGAAGGGCAUUAGAUCAGACUUGGUGUUUUACGAUUAUCUUCUCUUCUUGAGUUGUGCACUCGUAUUUCACUGGGCCAGCAUCGAUUCGGAUGGCAAGAUAAUGGCAGUUGAAUGUGGCUUCACUUCGGUGGAGUGUUAUAGCUUCUGCUGAUAUUGCCUGUCUGGAUCGAGGGCUGCGUCUUUUGACUAGGAUGCUGGCGUAAUGAUCUAAUGCCGCCCGUCUUGAAACA
rnacentral:rRNA from 1 species